UUUUAAAAACAUGGUACAUUAUCAAUAUAGGGUAUUUAUAAAAUACAACAAUAUGCAAAGAGGUCAAUACAAAUUUUCUCUAAUUCUGCUAUGCAAAAAAUUGCUGUUAAUGUAUUAAUAGAUACAUGUAAUACACACAAGCAUAUACAUCAAUCAUGCCUAGGAGCAUAUUGAGCUCCCUUUUGAAUCUAACUCUUGAAAAUUAUGACUGUUUCACUAUGCUCUUAAGCCUCUUAAAAAUAUAUUUUGAGUUGCCUGAAUUCUUUACACUUAUGCUUAUGUUUUAAAAAUUAACAUGAUAUAAAUAUUUAAAAAAUUAUCUGGCUCCUUUGUACCAUGAUUUAAACCCAAAGAAUUAGUAUUUUUAAUAACCAAGCUUGGCUCCCGGUAAGAUGGGAUGCUGGUGCUAAGGAUUUAGGUAUGGUGACUGUUACGAUGAUUACCAUUAGCAUUUAAUAACAGGCAGAAACAUUUACCCAGGGAUCUCUGUCUCCUUUUUAGGAUUUCCCCUCCCAUUUGAGGAGAGAUCUUUUAUCCCCCCUGUUUUUCUUUCUCUUGUAUUAUUUCUGAGUCAAGAGACAGUUGGCAUGCAACCUUGUGCAAGGUCCAUAAAUCAAAAGAUUUUGCACAAUUUAUACUGGAAAGAAGGAGCUUGAAUUAAUGUUAAGAGUUAGUGUUGAUCUAGAAUCAGUAGGUUGGGAUAUAGCAAGUUAAUUUAUGAUGCUGUUUGAGGGACAUAUAUUCGAUUCAAGGAGAAAAGUGAAAUCUCAAACAGUGAGCUAUGUCAUGAGUUGUAUGCAAUGUUAUCUUAUUUUCUCCACUGGAUCGAAGAGAUCCUUGGGGUCAGGCACUAUCUUAUACAUGUUUGUAUCCUUCGUGACAAUUUACAUUCUCUGUGGCCAAUAGUGGUCUUUUUUUAAAGGUAACUUUCACAGAGGUAGCCAUUUUGUAACCAGAUUCUGAGUUAUCACUGUUUUAAUACGCACUUUAAUAUGCAUUUUAUAGAUAAGCUUCAUACACAUAUGCUUCUAUUACAGUAUUGUGGUAUGCAAUAUUGUCCCCUACCACAGCACUAACAUUAAAUGACUAACUUCUGGAGUCAUGCAGACGUAUUUUUCUUACCGUUUCUACAAGCUUGAGUGAAUUAAUUUACCCCUCCGUGUCUCGGUUGCCCUCCUGGGUACUGCAGGAAUGAUGAUAGAAACUAUGGCUUUGGGUUUUUAUGAGGACUGAGUGGGAUCAUUCUUAUAAAGUGGUUAGCAUAGUGCCCAUCCCCUGUAAGGGUUACCCAUUACUAUCAUGGCUUCUCUGUUUAGUGGAUUUGAGCUUUGUCUUAUGUGGGCUUACUGGUCUAGAGAUGAAGAGGGUGGCAUCCUUGUGGUGAAGGAACUUAGAACAUAGUAAGGAUUUGUAGGAAGGAGGGUCUUCAGGGAUGAGGGGGGAUUUGCCAAUCCAAGAAGGAUGGUGGGAAGGAGGUUUUUGGUGGAAGGAAUGGCACAUGCAAAGAAACUGAGCUUUGUAAGGUGAUACUCUGUUUGAGGAAGGGUGAGGAUUUUGGCAUGGCUAAGGCUGAGGGUCUGGAAGUAUGUUCAGUAUUCAUAUAUAUGUGUCAGGUGGGGUUGGUGAAAAUGGUAGGAGAUAAGCCUGGAGAGGAAGUGGGGGACAGACGGUGGAGGCUUUGGUAAUCCAAGCCAGGAGCUUUGGUCUUCACCUUUCAGAGACUAUCCAAAUGGACUUAACAUGGUCAGUACAAACAGGGCCCUGACAUGACUGUUUCAUUUCUCUGUGCCUUGGUUUCCUCAUUUGGAAAGUGAUACAACGGUAGUCCUCUCCUCACAGGAUUGUUUUGGGAGAAUUUAAUGAGAUAAGGCCUUUAAGGGCUUAGAUGAGCUCCUCAUACAUGGUAGGGAUUAAAUCAACAUUUAGCUUCCACUGUAUUGAACAAAGGGAACUGAUAAAGGUAGAUUUUUGCCUGGGUGGUGUGUGUGUGUGUGUGUGUGUGUGUGUGUGUGUAUGUGUAUGAAAUAAUUGGAUCUGCUUUUGGGCAAGAUCACUCUGGUCACUUUGUGGAGGGGGGACUAGCAGUCUGUCUUGGAGCAUAUUUGUCUGUUGAGAGAAAGGAAUCAGUGAAUGGGGAGAUGCACAAAGGAAAAAUUACACACAGUUACUGGCUGACUGAGCUAUUUUUAGCUUAGUGUGUCUGAAGCAAAGGAUGGAUUUUCAUGGCUUCUUUUUUUUUUUUUUUUUUUUUUAAGAUGCAAAAUUACCAUAAGCCAGGGUUAUGUAACUUGCCCAGGGACACUUUAUUUGUUCACCCGUGAGGUCCACGAGAUAGUUCAUGAAACUUUCUGCAGUCAUUUUUAAAGGAUGGGCCCCCAGGUUCUCCAGCCCUGAAUUUCCUCCUGCCUUUGCCAGGAUUGGGAAACUGGAAGUGAUGGGCUAUGCCUUCUGUGAAAAACCUCCUUACAUGGUAGCCAGCCGGGCACAAGGACCCCAUAGUGAUAUAGUGAGUCGAGUGAAAAAGCAGAGUGGGGAGAGAGUUGAAAUCCUACCCUAUCCAGGACAUGUAAGGUGAGUCUCUGAGACUCAGUUUCCAAGGGGGCAGACCGAGAGUAGCCAAAAACAUCAGGUGCAUCUUGAACACUGAAUGGGACCAUGGAGGUAAAUUAGCCAAGGCUAGGGUGGUAUUUGGUAGCGACUCCUUCUUUCCCUAUGGGGUGCUUCGUGUGACGUCACAGGCCCUCACAGUUGGUUCAAUUUAGGGGUAGGUUUCCUGUGCUCUUCUCAAAACCACUUUCGAUGCUAAGCUUGAGCCUCUGGCCCGGGAUAAAUCUUUUCUUCUUCCUGAGCCUCUACCCUCCCCCGACAGCUCUGGCGUAGAUGAGAUGUGUACGGCAAAGUUCUCUUGUUGGCCCCAGAGUCUCUGAUCACAUGGACUAUUUGCGUCUGUUUUUUAAUCUACCCCAUUAAAAAUAAAAUCAAGGUAAAUAGUGUGUUAUUGACUCUGUGUCAAGCCUCCCGUUCCUUUUCUCCCACCCUCCUUGGUGAGGGGAACUUGCUGAGUCACAGCCUCUUGCUUUUCCACAGGAACUUGCUGGAGCUGGAGAACCACACUUCUCCAAAUGCUCUGUGCGCCAUUGUCUUGAAACCUGCACAUGAAAGAAGGUCCAGGAUUGUUUUUUCCGGGCACCAUAGACGAACCUUAAAAUGCAAAUGCAGGAUGUACUAAAAUUACAGAGAUCAGUGGGUGCUCUGUACUGUCAGUUUUUUUUUUUUUUUUUUUUUUUUUAAGAAAGGUUAAAAUUCAUCUGAACCAAGACUAGAAAAUAAGCUUAAGGUGUUAGGUUAUUCUGAAAAGACUGUUAAUGCCUGUUGGCUAAGUGCAUUAAACUGCUUUGAAAUGAUCACUUGUGUGUACUAUUUUAAAAACUGCUUGCUGGGAUGGUGAUUUAAACCUGUUUUUUUCUGGACUCAAAACUUUGCAUUUGUCUAUUGAAAAAAAUGCUGUAUUUGGGACAAAUAAACAUUAAAAUACAGUUUAUUAUAUUUCCAGGCGUUUGUCUGUAAGGAAAAUAUGUCAAGACAUUUAUAGUUAGAAGCUGAAAUCUCUGCCUUAAUUUACUCCAUCGUAUUUCCAAGGAGCCUAACCAUAUAUAUAGUAUUACCAGGUCUCCAGAGACCUCCUUGAAGGGAUGGAUACCAGAUACUCCUGGUAUAAUGGGAGCGGGGGGGUUGGGAGAGAAUGGGUAGGGAGGGAUCUUCAGUCCUAAUUCUAUAUUUCCUGUGAUUUUUUUUUUUUUAAAUGGAGGCAGGGGAAAAAGGAGAGACGAAAGAAUGCUGUUAUUUUUAUGACGGCUUUGAUUUCAAAACCCCUAAAGAAGUAGCAUUUACUGUGGCACCCUGGAGUGUCUAUGGUGAGAUUGCAUCAUCCCUCAAUAACUUACUGAGUUUUUUUUUAAUUAUGUUUUUGAUGAAGGAGGAUGACAAGCAAGCCUUGCCCUCAGGAUGCUCAUAGCCUAGUGGGGAAGACAGCCAACUAAACAUCUACUUACGGUGAAAGCGGUCCAGGGUCCUGAUCGGCAAGACUGGGCUGUUGAGGGCAGUGAGGAUGGAGGUCUUCCCAGCAGAAAUGAGUAUUGUCACGUGCGUGUGCGCACACACACACACACACACAUACAUGCAAGUGUGCACACAUACACAUGCACACAUACAUGUGCACAUUCAUACUCUAAGUUGCUUAUGAUAUGUGGUAAACCUACGGCACGCCUACCUUUUUGACGAUGCUGCAUAUCUGAUGAUCUUUAGAGGUAUUAAGCUGCUAAAAUAUCCAAACCCAGAGAGAUAAAGUCAUGCAACAUUGAAGUGAUGGCUGCAGCAUUAAUGUGAUGGUUGCAAGGAGGCCCUUACCCUAUUAUAAUCGAAACCUCAGAUCAGGGAGAGAAAGAAAAAAGGCAACCUCUCUAAGCCUACUUACCAGCCAAGAUACAGCAAAAACAAUCCUUUUGUUUUUCUUUAGCCGAGAAAUUGUUCAAUGUGUAGGGUAGAAAAUUUCCUCCUUACAAAAGUGUGGAUUAUAGUAAUUUUUAUGGAACUUCUAGGUUGUUACUUAGUGAAUCUUAAAAAAAAAAAAAAAUCCCCUUCCUCCAACUAUGGUAUCUAGCUAGACAAUACUGAGAAAAACUGAGGAAGAAACAGAUCAUGCAGAGCCUUGAAUGUUUAGGAAUCUAAAACUGAAGGCAAAGACUUAAUGAGAAUGAAGCAGGGUCUCAGAAUUCAAAAGCAGGACCAUAUGAAAAUCGUAGUGAACAUUUAUUAAGUUUUUGCUGCACGCCAGUCUCAUAACUAAGUGCUAUGAGACAACAUUGUCUCAACUAAGCUGUGCACCAAUGGUAGUAUUGGUAGUAUUAUUAGGUAAUCAUAAUAGUAGUACUAGGGAGUGUUAUUACCACCAUUCUUCUGAUGAGGGUGCAGAGGCUGUAAGAGGUUUAGUAAUUAGCACAGGGUAUCGCAGCGAGCAGGAAUCCCACUGUGGCUUGAACGUGGCUGCAUCCAGGACCAGAGUUAAUCUUCACUCUUCAAUUCUAUUGACUCUCAGACAGUGCCCCACUUUAUAGAUGAAGAAACUGAGGCCCAGAGAAGUUACAUAGGCCCUUGGUCACAACAGAAGGAGUAUUUUUCAUUGGUUGAUGAUUCUGUCUUCCAUUCCUAAGUGGGAGCCAGUAUGUGUACACUGAGAAUCCACUGUGAGUGUCCUGUCACUGUGAAUAUCACAUCACAGUGGCCUUCUUGAGGUCAGGGACCACACCAGACUCAUCUUUGUAUCAACAAUACAGAACGCAGGGCCAAGUGCAGAAGAAAUGCUCUAGACAGAAGGAAGCAUAUGAGAGAAGUCGCAGGCUCAGAAUUUUAAACACAAGUAACUAUAAGCUCCCCACAGCAUAAGCAUGUCUGUCUUUCUAGGCACAGCAGCUUGUAGGACAUGUUUAUGUGAGUUAGUAAAAGGUGCUCCCUCUAGCACCAAAAGGUGUUCCCUCACAGG